UGGGGAAUUUUGGACAAUGGGCGCAAGCCUGAUCCAGCCAUGCCGCGUGCGGGAAGAAGGCCUUCGGUUGUAAACCGCUUUUGUCAGGGAAGAAAUCUUCUGAGUUAAUACCUCGGGAGGAUGACGGUACCUGAAGAAUAAGCACCGGCUAACUACGUGCCAGCAGCCGCGGUAAUACGUAGGGUGCAAGCGUUAAUCGGAAUUACUGGGCGUAAAGCGUGCGCAGGCGGUUUUGUAAGACAGAGGCGAAAUCCCCGGGCUCAACCUGGGAACUGCCUUUGUGACUGCAAGCUUGAGUGCGGCAGAGGGGGGAUGGAAUUCCGCGUGUAGCAGUGAAAUGCGUAGAUAUGCGGAGGAACACCGAUGGCGAAGGCAAUCCCCUGGGCCUGCACUGACGCUCAUGCACGAAAGCGUGGGGAGCAAACAGGAUUAGAUACCCUGGUAGUCCACGCCCUAAACGAUGUCAACUGGUUGUUGGGAAGGUUCCUUCUCAGUAACGUAGCUAACGCGUGAAGUUGACCGCCUGGGGAGUACGGCCGCAAGGUCGAAACUCAAAUGAAUUGACGGGGUCAUAGCUGUUUCCU
rnacentral:rRNA from 1 species